ensembl:lncRNA
GAAAGGGUCAAUUCAAACAAAACUGGUGUCCAGAAGUUUCCGUGGGAGAAUUGUAGAACUAUAAUGUUCUGGCAGUAUUAGGAUGUGGGUUUGGUAAAACUUAACAACAACCCCCUGAACUGGCCCCCCAUGAUGACCCUCAACCACAGUGUUCAACAAAACAUGCUCUACGUUAAGAAAUCACAAGUUUCCUGGCUGGGUGGCCAUGUAGAGAACAUGCAAGCACAUUGUUACGUUCCCCAGUUUCUGUGUUGUGGUUUUGUAUGUGUGUGUUUCAGGAUGGCUUCCAGAAAUUGCCCUAAGCAGCUGAUUGGUCGGCCCCAUUUGAUGAUUGGAGCUGACUCCGCCCUCUCGUCAGAAACAGCUGUCUUCAAUGACCGACUCCUUCUCCAGCUAUAUAAGCCAGUGUUCUGUUGCAGAGAGAAGAGCUGAUGUCAUAUGUUGGUUGUUUCUCAGAAAGAGAUUUGGGAGGAAGGAGAAGGCACCUAGGGAGUGCUUAGGCAAGAGGCCCGCGGGCAUACAUAUACCCGUAGUAUAUUCACUAUCUUGGCACACUAGGACCUGAGCCCUAGGACCAUGGCCCAGGACUACCUGACAUGAUGACUCCUUGCUGUCCCCAGUCCACCUGACCGUGCUGCUACUCCAGUUUCAACUGUUCUGCCUUAUUAUUAUACGACCAUGCUGGUCAUUUAUGAACAUUUGAACAUCUUGGCCAUGUUCUGUUAUAAUCUCCACCCGGCACAGCCAGAAGAGGACUGGCCACCCAACAUAGCCUGGUUCCUCUCUAGGUUUCUUCCUAGGUUUUGGCCUUUCU